rnacentral:lncRNA from 1 species
GCCUCCCAAAGCGUUGGGAUUACAGUGAAUAAACCAGCAGACCAAUUCAGAGCCCAUUUCAGUGGUGCAGGUGAGAGGUGUUAGAGACCUGGACAAGGUGGUGGCAGAUGAAGAUGGAGAGAAGAGAGAUAGGAUCUCGCUAUGUUGCCCAGGCUGACCUCCUGCCUCAUGCAUCCCUCACCAAGCUUAACAGUUUACAAAUGGGAAAUCCACAACAUUGGUCAAGAAGAAAAGGCACCAUGAAUGGGAAGACCGAAGUGCAGACAACCAGCUGGA